UACGGAGGGUGCAAGCGUUAUCCGGAUUUACUGGGCGUAAAGGGCGCGUAGGCGGCCAUGCGUGUCUUCCGUGAAAUCCCUCGGCUUAACUGAGGACGUGCGGAAGAAACUGCAAGGCUCGAGUCCGGGAGAGGGGGGUGGAAUUCCCAGUGUAGCGGUGAAAUGCGUAGAUAUUGGGAGGAACACCGGUGGCGAAGGCGGCCCCCUGGACCGGUACUGACGCUGAGGCGCGAAAGCGUGGGUAGCAAACGGG
rnacentral:rRNA from 1 species